rnacentral:rRNA from 1 species
GGACUGUAGUCUGCAACCCGACUACACGAAGCUGGAAUCGCUAGUAAUCGCGGAUCAGAAUGUCGCGGUGAAUACGUUCCCGGGUCUUGUACACACCGCCCGUCACACCAUGGGAGUCGGGAAUGCCCGAAGUCAGUGACCCAACCUAUUGGAGGGAGCUGCCGAAGGCAGGUCUGAUAACUGGGGUGAAGUCGUAACAAGGUACC